CUGGCAUAUGAAAAACAGAACUUUGCUCUUGGCAAAGGUGAUGAAGAAGUAAUUUCCACACUCCACUAUUUUUCCAAAGUGGUGGAUGAGCUUAAUCUUCUCCAUACAGAGCUGGCUAAACAGUUGGCAGACACAAUGGUUCUACCUAUCAUACAAUUCCGAGAAAAGGAUCUCACAGAAGUAAGCACUUUAAAGGAUCUAUUUGGACUCGCUAGCAAUGAGCAUGACCUCUCAAUGGCAAAAUACAGCAGGCUGCCUAAGAAAAAGGAGAAUGAGAAGGUAAAGACCGAAGUUGGAAAAGAGGUGGCCGCGGCCCGGCGGAAGCAGCACCUCUCCUCCCUUCAGUACUACUGUGCCCUCAACGCGCUGCAGUACAGAAAGCAAAUGGCCAUGAUGGAGCCCAUGAUAGGCUUUGCCCAUGGACAGGUAGGGGAGUCCCUCCCUGAGGGCUGAAACCUAAGCUAGCUGUGGCGUUCUGCUGAGAGGGCACGCAGGAGACACUGAAGCAUCGUCGUAGAAAGAAACAUAAAUGCACAAUCUCCCUGGCAACUUUGUGGGAUUCAGCACUUGGACAGCUUCCAGUUGAGCUGGGUCAUCUUCAGCUGGACAUGCAUUGGCCUCGAGUUAGGCCAUAUGU
rnacentral:sRNA from 1 species